rnacentral:rRNA from 1 species
GACGAACGCUGGCGGCGUGCUUAACACAUGCAAGUCGAACGAAGUGGCGAACGGGUGAGUAACGCGUAAUCAACCUGCCCUUCAGAGGGGGACAACAGUUGGAAACGACUGCUAAUCCCGCAUACUGAAGGAGUGGAUUGUGUCUGAUUAGCUAGUUGGAGGGGUAACGGCCCACCAAGGCGAGGGUCAGGAGCCGGUCUGAGAGGAUGAACGGCCACAUGGGGAAUGAGACACGGCCCAGACUCCUACGGGAGGCAGCAGUGGGGAAACUUCCGCAAUGGACGAAAGUCUGACGGAGCAACGCCGGGGGAGUGAUGACGGCCUUCGGGUUGGAAAGCUCUGUUAAUCGGGACGCGGUACCGGAAUAGAAAGCCACUGCUAACUACGUGCCAGCAGCCGCGGUAAUAC